rfam:Thiotrichales bacterium SG8_50 WOR_8-12_26842, whole genome shotgun sequence.
GCCGGGGUGGCGGAAUUGGUAGACGCGGCGGAUUCAAAAUCCGCUGGUUUUGCGACCUUGAGGGUUCGAGUCCCUCCCUCGGUA